GUGGAAAAUAAGUAUUGGGAAACAGUCCUGUAGUUUAGCAUCUGCUUCAUCUGACUACUUCUGUAUUCAACAUGUCACUGGUACUGCCUGGUUGAGUUUGUGCUUGUAAAAAGGAAUCAGAAGGAUAGAGUUAGAUUUGCCAAAGGGAGGGUGAGGGAGAGCUUUAUAUGCGUUUCUCUGUGUGAAGUAAAGGUGAUCUAGAGUUUUGUCGCCUCUAGUUGUACAGUUGACAUGCUGGUAAAAAUGAAGUAAAACAGACUUCAGUUUCCCUGCAUUGAAAUCACCGGCCAUGAGAAGCGUCACUUCUGGAUGUGCAUUUUCUUGUUUGCUUAUGUGCCAGCAUCGGUUUGUAUUGGUAAACAGCUCUGAAAAAUAUAGAUGAAAACUCUUGGUAAAUGUCUGCAGGUUAUCAUGAGGUGUUCUAACUCGGUGAGCAGAAACUCAAAACUUCCUUAACAUAAGAGAUCGCACAACAGCUGUUGUUAACAAAGACACACCGCUCAUCCCUUCGCCUUACCAGAGGCUGCUGUCCAGUCUUGACGGUGCAUGGAAAACCCAAUAUUACAGUUCUUCAGGUCCGUUGAUAGGAUAGUCUCGAACAGAGCUCGUCCAGUUUGCUCUCCAGUGUACAUUCACCAAUAAAACGGAGGGUAGAGGCGGUUUAUUUGCUCACCAAUAUAGUCUCGUCAUGUUGCCUGCUUGUCUCGUCAGCCUCUUGCGCUGUCACUUCUUCUUUCGAGUCCAGAUGACCAAGGCCUUAAUGCGGAUUAAGCAGAAAGUCCAGAGCUGCCAACUCGUUGAAGUAGAAAUUGUCAUCCAAAUCGAGGUUGGUGAUCGCUGUUCUGAUGUCCAGAAGCAGUUUUCAGUCAUAGGAAUUUAUCGUGGAGACAUUAUGUACAAAAAAAAAGUUAAGAUUAGCGUAAAAAAACAAACAUAAAAUAGCAUAAUUGAUCAGGAGCCCGUAAAUCCACUGCUAUACACUGCAGCGCCAUCUUACGCAUCAUAUGCACAUAUGCAUGCAAUACGCACAAACCGACAAAGCACACACACAUACAUGCACACAGGUGCACACACACACAGCUCUUUAUUUCCCCACCAUUUCUCAGGACUCGUCUGGUAGUCUCUGCCCACUUGCUGUGCAGUGCGGUCACCAUGGAAACGACUGCACUGCAUGUCUUUUCU
ensembl:lncRNA